GAUGAACGCUGGCGGCGUGCCUAAUACAUGCAAGUCGAGCGAACAGACGAGGAGCUUGCUCCUCUGACGUUAGCGGCGGACGGGUGAGUAACACGUGGAUAACCUACCUAUAAGACUGGGAUAACUUCGGGAAACCGGAGCUAAUACCGGAUAAUAUAUUGAACCGCAUGGUUCAAAAGUGAAAGACGGUCUUGCUGUCACUUAUAGAUGGAUCCGCGCCGCAUUAGCUAGUUGGUAAGGUAACGGCUUACCAAGGCGACGAUGCGUAGCCGACCUGAGAGGGUGAUCGGCCACACUGGAACUGAGACACGGUCCAGACUCCUACGGGAGGCAGCAGUAGGGAAUCUUCCGCAAUGGGCGAAAGCUUGACGGAGCAACGCCGCGUGAGUGAUGAAGGUCUUCGGAUCGUAAAACUCUGUUAUUAGGGAAGAACAAAUGUGUAAGUAACUAUGCACGUCUUGACGGUACCUAAUCAGAAAGCCACGGCUAACUACGUG
rnacentral:rRNA from 1 species